rnacentral:rRNA from 1 species
GACGAACGCUGGCGGCGUGCUUAACACAUGCAAGUCGAACGGAAAGGCCCUGCUUUUGUGGGGUGCUCGAGUGGCGAACGGGUGAGUAACACGUGAGUAACCUGCCCUUGACUUUGGGAUAACUUCAGGAAACUGGGGCUAAUACCGGAUAGGAGCUCCUGCUGCAUGGUGGGGGUUGGAAAGUUUCGGCGGUUGGGGAUGGACUCGCGGCUUAUCAGCUUGUUGGUGGGGUAGUGGCUUACCAAGGCUUUGACGGGUAGCCGGCCUGAGAGGGUGACCGGCCACAUUAGGACUGGAAUACGGCCCAGACUCCUACCGGAGGCGACAGUGGAGAAGAUUGCACAAUGGGCGGAAGCCUGAUGCAGCAACGCCGCGUGCGGGAUGACGGCCUUCGGGUUGUAAACCGCUUUCGCCUGUGACGAGGCGUGAGUGACGGUAAUGGGUAAAGAAGCACCGGCUAACUACGUG